CUUUGUGGCAGUGUCGCGCCCUGCCGUCAGGCUCCGGUCUCGUAUGCCCGGACGCCGUCUAUACUCCCACCCAUCAAGAGAAGUAUUUUAUUCCUUAAUCAAUCCCCGUCCUUAAUGAUGAUGGAUUUGGUAUCAGAGGAAGAGGCCGCCUCACUGUAAAGAUUUGAGAGCUAGAUAAUUACUCGAUCAUAAGUGUUUAUAAAUAAAUUGCAAGGACACCAUGGCAUUUAAUUGGCAGACCUAGCGAUUCAUUUUACGUUUAUGUUUCCAUUAGUAGACCACUCCCAUUUACGGACUACUGUUUCCUGAUUGGCUGAGAACAGGAAGGGCGAGGCUUGUGUUGCAUCAGCGCGCUGAACAAUGGCACUGAUUUCGUAGUCAUUCCUAACGUUGUUUUUUGUGUGUUUUAGUUAUUACAUUAGCAGUCAGUGAA